CGCCCAUUGGUGUAGCGGUCAGCACGUCACACUUUGAUGCCCGUCCACCAAGUCUUCUGAAGUCGCCAGUUCGAAUCUGGCAGGGGCGU